AUGGCAGAGUUUACUCGAUCAUUAGGGGGGGCCAGGCCCCUGCUCGCCCCCCCUUGUCUCCGCCACUGGCCGGCGCCGCCGCUGCCGUUCUGUGUACAUGCGUCUGCUUCUCUCUUAAUUGACCUCUGCCACGUCUUCAGUGUUGUUCCACGGGAGGGUUCCUCUUCCGAUGUCUUCCCCAACAAAUUUUCCGUGAUGAGGUGUUCCAGAUCCGGCGAUGAACCAGAGAAUGUGAGGGAAGUUUCGCCAGAGCAGCUACAAUGCAGUAGACUACAACGAGCUCGAACAUGGCAACAGCGAGCUGCGCCAUCUUGUUGGAGAUGCUGA
rnacentral:rRNA from 1 species